GCGGGUGUAACUCAAUGGUAGAGUGUCAUCCUUCCAAGUUGAACGUUGCGUGUUCGAAUCACGUCACCCGCU
rfam:Ostreococcus tauri chloroplast, complete genome.